UUUCUGCUACUUCUGCGACUUCUGCGAUUUCUGCUACUUCUGCGAUUUCUGUGACUUCUGCUACUUCUGCGAUUUCUGUGACUUCUGCUACUUCUGCGAUUUCUGUGACUCCUGCGAUUGCUGCGACGUACCACCGUAUGAAAAAGUUACAUCUGUCCACACAGAAAAUUGCAUCUCAACAAACCUGUCAUUGGUACCUGAACUACAUUUCAGUCACUCAGUAAAGUGAUAAUUCAAAAUAUCAUUGUCAACAGAUCUGAAGAAAUUGCCAGUCUUUAGACCGUUUUCGUCAGACGACAGACGCAGUUCUGACUGAUUACUGGUUGCUGUACAUAUCUAUCCACAUCAAGGCUGUUGAGAGAGACUCGUGAAGAUUCAAGACAGCUCUUAGAGGAUUUGCAGUUUAAAAGUGAAAUAAUUAUGAAAUAAGUGUAUGACUGAUUAAAGUGUUUGAUUGAAG